rnacentral:ncRNA from 1 species
AGAGAAAAUGAGGAGAGCACAUGAGGAGAGUCAAGGAGAAUCGAUGAGAGAACAUGAGAGUCGAGGAUAGAUGAGGAGAGAACACCAUGAGUAGAUUCGAGGAGAUCACAGAAGGAGCAACUCCCUAAACCCUGACAUCUACGCCAGGGCACAUAAGAGAAGGAGAUAAAGGGUGGAGGAGACUGAGCUAGAGGAUGCACUGAGGAGAUUGAGCUAGAGCGCACACUGUGAGCAAGCUUGAGAAUGGUGAGUGGUAGUUGCACCAAUCCCACCCAUAAUUUUUUCAUUGAGAUAUGAUUUCGCCAAGUUGCCUUUAUUUUUGUUUCCCCUUGUCUACAAAAAAAAAACAUGUUUUGACUGUGUGGAUCUUGGAAAGGUCAAGUUAAAUCUCAUUCAUCCCCCCUCUCUAUCUUGGAUGCAAGAAAAAAAAUAGAACGUACACAUGUCUUUCAUCCAAAAUGGACCCUCCAGCCUUCUCCUCCUCACUAUUCUCAUGAUCCAGGUCUGUCCACAUAGGCGUUGUCUACAUAGGCAUUGUUUACAUAGGCAUUGUCUACAACAUUCCAUUUUGGCCCACUGGAUCUUGGACAAUGAGGCAUCACAAAAGAUAUGGAGGUUUUCCAUAACGUUCUCUAUAGAAUCAAAAAAAAUCUAGAAGCAUUCCAUAGUGUUCUUCAUAAAAUUCUAGUCCUUAUGAAUAAUAUGAAAGAGUUGUAUGUAGAAUGUUGAUUAACCAACUAUCCAACUCCAUGUUCUGGGAGGGGAAUGCCUUUGAUAAGAUGUUGACCAACCCCAUGAUAAAUGAGAUAAUUUAGGGCCUUUACUGCCAUUUAAAAAAAUAUUUUGGUUGGAUGGACCCUAAGUGUUCCAUAUCCUAUGAUUCACACUUGUUGAUAGGCAAGAAGACUGAGGCUUUGCAGAAUGUCUCAUAAGUGUAGAGGAAAAAUUUCCCGAAGUCCAUGGCCUUGAUCAUGCCUAUAUUUGAGGGUCAUUCAAUCAUGUCAUAAGAUUUCCCAAAAAUAAAUCUCAUUGAAGAGGGUGUUGAAAUCAAGGAAACAUUUGAGGGAAUUCCAUAACUUUUUCCCCUUCAAGCAAUAUCACAGACAACAUGCACUCCUUUUCUUCCUCUGCAUCAAUCAUGUGAAAAUCCCUACAAACCAACGAAUGGAUUUCCAAUGAUUUGUCAAUAAUCCAUUUCUAGAAAAGGGCACAUUCAUCAUUAGACACAUAGAAGUUGGAUAAACCCAACAACCUUCCAUCUAUAGUCAACAAAAUUGAAACCCAUUUUUGAGAGUUGUUGGUGCCUCAUCCUAUAACCGAUGACAACGUUAGGAAAUCCGGAGAUGUCGUCAGGGGCCCGGGGAUGAGUUAUAUUUUCUUCUUAACAACUUUCCCACCCUGAAAUCGGCUCAACCGGAUAUAGGGUCCAACAUCUGGAAGAGCAUCGCACGUCUUGCGAUUUUCGGUGUGCCCUCGAUGGCCCUUGAAAAUCUGGAGAACCGAGUACCAUCCAUGCCUAGUUGUACUCAUAACUGCAUCAGGUCUCCAAGGUGAAAAACCUCUGGUCAAUAGAAUAAUGUAGGUAAGGGAAGUUGACAAAAUGAAUCCGUAACUUUGGGAAAAGGAUUGUCUCUGAGGGCUGGGACUAGGGGUCUGCGUCCUCAACCAGUGGGUUGUCGGCAGUCUGUCAGAGCUACUAUCGUAGUGAGGGCGGGUAGUCACAUGCCGAUUGUGCUACAAACAUAGGAUGUCCUCUCUCAGGGAAUUUUCCCUAGGCGACAAACAGUCGACUCAGAACUGGUACGGAUAAGGGGAAUCCAACUAUUUAAUUAAAACAAAGCAUUGUGAUGGUCCCUGCGGAUGCUGACACAAUGUGAUUUAUGCCCAGUGAUAUGAAUGCCAAAGUGAAUAAAUUCAACCAAGCACGGGUAAAUGGAUAGAGAAUUCAAUCCUUAGAAUCCUUGAGUUUGUAGCGAGGAUCAAGCUCAGGAAGUAUAGAGACUUGGAGAAGU